rnacentral:rRNA from 1 species
GACACGCUGGCGGCGUGCCUAACACAUGCAAGUCGAGCGGGGUUGAGGCGAGAGGUAACUCGAGCUUCUACCUAGCGGCGGACGGGUGAGUAACGCGUGGGCAACCUGCCUCAAGGUUUGGGAUAACAGCCCGAAAGGGCUGCUAAUACCGGAUAUGCCUAUGGCCUCGCAUGGGGCUAUGAGCAAAGGGGAAACCCGCCUUGAGAUGGGCCCGCGUCCCAUCAGCUAGUUGGUGAGGUAACAGCUCACCAAGGCGACGACGGGUAGCCGGCCUGAGAGGGUGACCGGCCACACUGGGACUGAGACACGGCCCAGACUCCUACGGGGGGCAGCAGUGGGGGAUCUUGCACAAUGGGCGAAAGCCUGAUGCAGCGACGCCGCGUGAGCGAAGAAGGCCUUCGGGUUGUAAAGCUCUGUCCGGAGGGACGAACAAAAUGACGGUACCUCCGGAGGAAGCCACGGCUAACUACGUG